UACAGAGGUCUCAAGCGUUGUUCGGAUUCAUUGGGCGUAAAGGGUGCGUAGGUGGCGCUGUAAGUCGGGUGUGAAAUUUCGAGGCUUAACCUCGAAACUGCAUUCGAUACUGCGGUGCUUGAGGACUGGAGAGGAGACUGGAAUUUACGGUGUAGCAGUGAAAUGCGUAGAGAUCGUAAGGAAGACCAGUGGCGAAGGCGGGUCUCUGGACAGUUCCUGACACUGAGGCACGAAGGCCAGGGGAGCAAACGGG
rnacentral:rRNA from 1 species